rnacentral:rRNA from 1 species
UACGUAGGGUGCAAGCGUUACUCGGAAUUACUGGGCGUAAAGCGUGCGCAGGCGGUCUUGUAAGACUGUCGUGAAAUCCCCGGGCUCAAACUGGGAAUGGCGAUGGUGACUGCAAGGCUAGAGUUUGGCAGAGGGGGGUAGAAUUCCACGUGUAGCAGUGAAAUGCGUAGAUAUGUGGAGGAACACCGAUGGCGAAGGCAGCCCCCUGGGUCAAAACUGACGCUCAUGCACGAAAGCGUGGGGAGCAAACAGG